rnacentral:tRNA from 1 species
GCGACCAUGGUCUAGUGGUUAUGAUUGUGCCUUGCCAAGGCUCAGGCCCGGGUUCGAUUCCCGGUGGUCGCA